rnacentral:rRNA from 1 species
GGACCCGCACAAGCGGUGGAUGAUGUGGAUUAAUUCGAUGCAACGCGAAAAACCUUACCUACCCUUGACAUGCCACUAACGAAGCAGAGAUGCAUUAGGUGCCCGAAAGGGAAAGUGGACACAGGUGCUGCAUGGCUGUCGUCAGCUCGUGUCGUGAGAUGUUGGGUUAAGUCCCGCAACGAGCGCAACCCUUGCCGAUAGUUGCUACGAAAGGGCACUCUAUCGGGACUGCCGGUGACAAACCGGAGGAAGGUGGGGAUGACGUCAAGUCCUCAUGGCCCUUAUGGGUAGGGCUUCACACGUCAUACAAUGGCUGGUACAGAGGGCUGCCAACCCGCAAGGGGGAGCCAAUCCCAGAAAACCAGUCGUAGUCCGGAUUGCAGUCUGCAACUCGACUGCAUGAAGUCGGAAUCGCUAGUAAUCGCGGAUCAGCAUGUCGCGGUGAAUACGUUCCCGGGUCUU